AUUGUUUUUAUUUGUUGAAUUUAUUUCCUUAAAAUCGAAGCUUUAAAUGGUUACAAAUUGAAGGAGAUGUUGUGUUUCAUGAUCUUUUCCUUUAUGUAAAUUGGAUACGGUUAUUUUAGAAAUGGCAGGUUAUACUUACCAAAUGAUUUGUCUCUCUGUUACUAACUUUCCUUUUGCUUUUCCUUUACAAACUUUUGGUGCUGUUUUGUUAUAUUAGAUGCUAUUUUCUUUCUUUUUCUUCUUAGAUUUUCUUGUGAUUGAAUUAAUUUCUUUAUUUGAGAUGAGUGUAUCGAUUGCUUAAUCUGGAUCUGUUGCUACUGCUUAUUAAAAUUGUAAAUUAUUAUGAUAAUUAGACAAUAAAGGAGGCUUUUUAUUGGUGGAAAAUGUAAAUCACUUGAUUUUGUAGUUUCCUUUUGUAACUUCACUAACCGAUCUUUGAGUACUGGCCUGAGUGCAGACCCUGCAGAGAGACUUUACGAUUAAGAAUUUUUUAUUAGAGAUUUAUAAUGAAAAUGUGAGGGACCUGCUGAACUCAGAAUCAGAAAGGUGUUGUGGUCGAGAAGUUGGUAGAAGAAACAACAACCAAUAAUCAGCAUUUGAGGCAUCUUAUAAAACCUUGCUGGAAGUGAAAGAGCUUCAC